AUUUUUACCCUUGCCUUAGAAAGUUUGGGAGAAUUCAGAUUACAAUGAUUGGUUGCAUUCAAGUUGGGGAGAAAAGGUUGGUUGCAUUAGAGGUCGAGAAAGAAAAAUAAAAAUUUGGAAAAAGAAAGAGAAAAGUGAAAAAUAAAAUAAAAUAAAAAUUAAAAGAAAAGGCAUUGAAAAAGAAAAAAAAAUAGCACAUAAAU
rnacentral:lncRNA from 1 species